rnacentral:rRNA from 1 species
AUUGAACGCUGGCGGCAGGCCUAACACAUGCAAGUCGAGCGGCAGCGGAAAGUAGCUUGCUACUUUGCCGGCGAGCGGCGGACGGGUGAGUAAUGUCUGGGAAACUGCCUGAUGGAGGGGGAUAACUACUGGAAACGGUAGCUAAUACGGCAUAACGUCGCAAGACCAAAGAGGGGGACCGUCGGGCGGCUUUCCUGCAGAUGUGCCCAGAUGGGAUGAGCUAGUAGGUGGGGUAACGGCUCACCGAGGCGACGAUCCCUAGCGGGUCUGAGAGGAUGACCAGCCACACUGGAACUGAGACACGGUCCAGACUCCUACGGGAGGCAGCAGUGGGGAAUAUUGCACAAUGGGCGCAAGCCUGAUGCAGCCAUGCCGCGUGUAUGAAGAAGGCCUUCGGGUUGUAAAGUACUUUCAGCGGGGAGGAAGGUGUUGAGGUUAAUAACCUCAGCAAUUGACGUUACCCGCAGAAGAAGCACCGGCUAACUCCGUG